rnacentral:ncRNA from 1 species
GGUGUUCAUACACACAGGGACAGCAAAAGCUCGGCCUAUCGAUACUUGUUGGUUUAAAGAGUUUUUAACAAGAGGUGUCAGCAAAGUUCCCAAAGGGAUAUCUGGCUUGUGGCGGCCAAGCGUUUAUAGCGACGUCGCUUUUUGAUCCUUCGAUGUCGGCUCUUCCUAUCAUUGUGAAGCAAAAUUCACCAUGCGUUGGAUUGUUCACACAUGCAAGGGAACGUGAGCUGGGUUUAGACCGUCGUGAGACAGGUUAGUUUUACCCUACUAAUGACAAAACGUUGUUGCGACAGCAUUCCUGCGUAGUACGAGAGGAACCGCAGGUACGGACCAAUGGCACAAUACUUGUUCGAACGAACAGUGGUAUGACGCUACGUCCGUUGGACGCCUCUAAGGUCGUAUCCGUGCUGGACUGCAAUGAUAAAUUGCAAUUUGCAUUGUAUGGCUUCUAAACCAUUUAAAGUUUAUAAUUUAUUUUAUAAGCGACAAUGGAUGUGAUGCCAAUGUAAUUUGUAUCAUAGUAAAUUAGGAGGAUCUUCGAUCACCUGAUGCCGCGCUAGUUACAUAUUAAAUUAUUAUUUAAUACAAUGACAAAGCCUAGAAUAAAUUGUAAACGACUUUUGUAACAGGCAAGGUGUUGUAAGUGGUUGAGGAGCUGCCAUACUGCGAUCCACUGAAGCUUAUCCUUUGCUUGAUGAUUCGA